rnacentral:lncRNA from 1 species
CUGAGCGAGAAGCCAUUGCAGAUUAAUCUUGAGAUAUUUCAGCACUGAAAAACAAGGACAAAAUUUGUAUUCAUACAAGGAUGCUGAAAAUGUGCUAAACCAGAAAGAAAAGUUUUUAUACAUUACACUUCAUGAGAAACCUCCAUCAUUCAUAAUAAAGGAUCUCGAAAAAUAAUGGCUCUUUUGAGUGUUUCUCAAAGACAAGGAGUUUAAGAAAGUACAUAGUAUAUACUGUAUAUGGAUCUAAGAUGAUAACCAAAAACCAGGCAUCACUAGAGCAACAAAAAUGAUGACAAUAUUGUGAAUGUGUUUUAAUUUUUAAAGAUUACUUCCAACAAAAAUAAACUUAGCAUAAGAAAUGAACAACAAUGUUACUUUUAUAUUUUGGGUUUCAAGAAAAAUCGAAAAACCCAAAUCAGAAAACAAAAAUCCCUAAAAAAUUAAAUUAAUAGUGAACAAAAGGAGAAAAAAAAUUACUAAAGCUCACCUGAUUGAGAGAAUGCAAGAAGAAUGAUAAGGUUCACUUUCACUUCAAAAUCAAAACCUCUUCUCUCUCUAAAGCGAAUAUAUAAAGUAGAAGAAGAUGAAUAGAAAGAAGAAAAAGAGGGAAAGAAACAAAAGUGGAGUAAUUGUUACCCAGCUGAUGAGUUGGCAAUAACCCAAAUCGUGCAAGCUUAUUUGCUUAGCUGCACGCCAACGAUCAAAGUUUCUGAUACCCAUUGUACUACGUUGUCAGAACUCAGAAACUAAACUAAAGUAGAUAUAUAUAUAGAGAGAGAGAGAGAGAGAGCUAGCUAAGUAGCUAUUGCUGCUAUUAGUUUGGUGGGAAGAAAGCAUUUGCAUUUUGCAAUUUCGCUCAGUUUCAAUUUGAC